GGUCCCGUAGCUCAGUGGGAGAGCGUCCGCCUCACACGCGGAAGGUCGCUGGUUCGAAACCAGCCGGGACCACCA
rnacentral:tRNA from 4 species